UUCGAGCGUCAUUACACCCCUCAAGUCAAACCUUUUGGUUACCUUGGUGUUGGGCCUUGCCGGAAGGCAUGCCUAAAAAUUAGCGAUGGUACGUUGAACCACGGACGCACAAAUGUCGUUACGUCGGGGUCAUGGUAUCAGUCUCGAUUAAUUUCUCAAUUGUUGACCUCGGAUCAGGUAGGAAUACCCGCUGAACUUAA
rnacentral:misc_RNA from 1 species